rnacentral:rRNA from 1 species
GAGCGGCGGACGGGUGAGUAAUACUUAGGAAUCUACCUAGUAGUGGGGGAUAGCUCGGGGAAACUCGAAUUAAUACCGCAUACGACCUACGGGAGAAAGGGGGCAACUUGUUGCUCUCGCUAUUAGAUGAGCCUAAGUCGGAUUAGCUAGAUGGUGGGGUAAAGGCCUACCAUGGCGACGAUCUGUAGCUGGUCUGAGAGGAUGAUCAUCCACACCGGGACUGAGACACGGCCCGGACUCCUACGGGAGGCAGCAGUGGGGAAUAUUGGACAAUGGGGGCAACCCUGAUCCAGCCAUGCCGCGUGUGUGAAGAAGGCCUUUUGGUUGUAAAGCACUUUAAGCAGUGAAGAAGACUCUAUGGUUAAUACCCAUAGACGAUGACAUUAGCUGCAGAAUAAGCACCGGCUAACUCUGUGCCAGCAGCCGCGGUAAUACAGAGGGUGCAAGCGUUAAUCGGAAUUACUGGGCGUAAAGCGAGCGUAGGUGGCUUGAUAAGUCAGAUGUGAAAUCCCCGGGCUUAACCUGGGAACUGCAUCUGAUACUGUUAGGCUAGAGUAGGUGAGAGGAAGGUAGAAUUCCAGGUGUAGCGGUGAAA